CUAUCAUUGGCCCGGGCGGCCUCGACUCGGCUUUAACUGUUCGCCGAUUGGUGCGCCUAAAGCGGCUCUCCUAAGAGCUUCUGCAGCAACAAAAGCCGUUUUCUACAGUACUAGUUGAAUGUUGCUCCCCGUUGGACUCGGAUCUAUGCCCACAGCACUUCUCUUGAUUCCUUACUGCACGGAGCUCAUCUUUGAAAUCACUCAUAUUUGUAGAGGGAAUUAUGGCUCAGUCCUGCUGCUCACAUCAUCCCACCGAAUCGUCAACUCCACUCUCAGACGAGGAAACAACUACAGCAAGGUGAAGAAUGUCACCCCAGGCCACACACUUGGUUAGCAGUGGACCAAAACAAAGUUAAUCUUACCUGAAAGUCUUCUGUGUGCACCCUGUCAAAUGCAGAAUCUCCCUUUGCCUGUCCUCUUACCAUGCUUCUGUGUUCUUCAUUCAUAGCACUCCUAUAGCUACUUGACCUCGUUGUUUAUUUUAGUUUAUCUCUGUUCAGGUAGAAUGUGCUCUCUUCACAAGAGCUGGGACUUUGUUUUAUUGUAUUUUUGGCACCUGAAACAGUGCCUGACAUUUGGAAUGAACAAAUGAGUGAGUGACUAAGAUGAACUUCUGAGCUGAGAUCUGAUUGAAGUUAGGAAGUGGACCACAAGAUGUCUGUGGAGGAGAAUUCCAGAUCUAGGGAACAGUAAGAGCAAAACCUGGAAGCAAAUGUGUACUAGAAAUGGCCAACGGGCCAGUGUGAUGGAAGAGGCUGAAAGAGAGAUAAUGCUCAGAGAUGAGAUGAGGUGAGAGAGAGGACACAGAACACCUAGAGCCUAAGAGCCUAUAGUAGGACUUCAGAUUCUAUGCUGAGACUAAUGGGAAACUAUGGGAGAGUUAUUUUAAUUUUAUUUUUUUGACUGUGCCACGUGGCUUAUAGGAUCUUAAUUCCUUGACCAGGGAUUGAACUCGGGCCCUCGGCAGUAAAAGUGCAGAGUCUUAACCACUGGACCGCCAGGGAAUUCCCUUAAUUUGUUUUUUAAAAACCGCUUUAUUGAGAUAUCUUUGACAUAUAAAAAUUGUAUAUAUUUAAAAUGUACAACUGGACAUUUUGAUAUAUGUAUACAUUGUGAAAAGAUUGCCACAGUCAAGCUAAUUUACAUAUCCAUCAUCUCUGCAUAUUAAUAGUUGCCAUUUUGUGUGUGUGUGGAGAAUAUGGGAGAAUUUUGGGCAAAGGGGUGACAAGAUUCAACUUCUGUUCUUCGUGUAGUAACCCUUGAGUUGAAUGAAGGAAUGAAAACAAAUCCCCCAAGAGCACCAAAACC